rnacentral:lncRNA from 1 species
UUGCCUUUUACAUGUUCUUUUUGGUGAUUUGGGGAAAGUCUCCCGAACUAACACGGUAUAUCCCCAUACACUCAUUGUAUUCCUUUUUUUUUACGGUACUAGAUUCUACGAACGCGCUUUACCGCUUACCACUGAGUUGUUGUGUAACAUAUAUUUUCUCACCCGUGUAGCAAAAAAGUUUAGAAACGAUACGAUAUAUAAUCGAAAUACCUUGGAUAUAUCACAAAAGACGUACACUAUACUAACCGUGAUUAGAGAAAGUACGUUUUUUGGCCUUAAAGUUGGAGAGUUGAGAAAACCUUCAACCAUACCCUCCAUUGAAGUUUGAUGGGUUCUUAACCGAACCAGCUGAUCAACCUGUCGUUAUAGCUGUUAUAAAUAGCCCGCCUCUGUUUCCACAGCUCCCCAAUCCUUUGAUUUUCUUUUAUAGCUUGGAGGCUGAAGAGCAACAACUGAAUCUUGAACAAUGAAAGUCUUCAUCAAAUAUCAUUUAUGCACGGCUACUCUCUAUAUGCUCUUUUUGUUGAGUGGCAGAUUCUGUAGCAAUUGAAUAGCAACCUUCAUUUUUCCUGCCCAUCCACAAACAAAUACAAAAUUUUACAACCAAAAUCCCCAUAUUACAAAGGGUAAAAAAAAGGCAUAACUCCAAUCUUGAACAAAUAUUCAGCGAUAAAUUUUUGGCUUAGCCAUUGAGAAAUCUUGUCUUAAGAAUAUAUCAAGCCAACAGAUUUAAAGCUCCGAUCAAAACCCAAAAAUGGAAAAAGAGCCAAAUUUCAUGAGCUUCAAAAGAAGCAAAUGUGGAAAGCAAUCGAAGUAUACAGUUUGAAGAACAAUACUUGCACAAAAGGGGAUCAGACCAACACAGGUAGAUCUUUGAAACAAACUAAAUAUAAGUGGACUUGUUUGAUCAUUAUGAACAACCACAUCAACGUCAAUAUCAUAAGUAAUUUCAGCCAAAACAACAACCUUAAAGUAGAGAAGGAAAAUGAAACAUGUGAUAUCGAAAAUCAUACAACAUAUGAUAGACGUAAGAAGGAUGGAAUUGUGUCCCUACCUUUGAUAUGAGAUUCUUAAACCUGGGCAAUAUUACCAACGUUCUAAUUCAGGGGUGGUUCCACCCCAGCCAUUGAUUUCCCUAUAUAAUCAGCGAGACUAAACCCCUACCGAUUUACACGAUAGGAUAUAGAGCCUGGAACGCCAUAUACCUGAAGUUGGUAUUUCUUGCGACAAUCAAGUUGUUCCUGUAAUCAUCAUCAACAACAAACAUACAUCCUUUAGGAUCUAAGCUUGAUAAGACUAUGGAGGAACACGAGGACAAAAAGGAUGGUUAUGAACGAUAGUGACAACAAAUUGAAAAAUCGUUAACCAAGUUACUGAAAAAGCGAAUCUAACUUGAGAAAUGACCGAGAUAAUUUUUAAGCAAAGAAUUGAUAGGUGUGGCCGAAUUCUUUUCCAAGUACAGAGCUUCUUGCUUGUAUUCGGUGAAACAAAAUAUACAUGUAACCCACUUCAAAACACUAAAAAUAAGAACUACUGAUGAGAAAUGAAACAACAACAUAUGGCUCACUUGAAAUGGAAGCUUGACAAAGGAGAAGAAUCAAAAGUUAUCCAUUACAAAAUUCCACCACUUUGGUCACUCCAAAGUCUGAAAUAAGCUGUACAACACCAAAAUCCUAAAUAGGAUUAAAACCCCAUGGAAAAGAAGGAAAAAAAAGCAAACGGACGAAGAACACUGAUUACGUACCUCAGCGUUCAUCCAAAUGGUGUCGAGCCUCCACACAUGCUGUAGGCGCAACUCGAGUUGCAGCGACGGAUUUUCCGACAACAAAAGGCGCAGCAACAUUGUCGAGGAAGGUGUGGGACGGCGAGGGUACUACGGCAAUACGGGCUGCUUCGAUACAUGCUGAAGACGAGGCUCAAGCUGGGGAGGCGGGUUUUCCGGCAUUAAAGUGCUAUGACGGUGGAUGGUGGUUUCCGAUGGCAACGCGGCACCGGGACAGCCGUAAGAUGAACCGAAAAUGGCUUGGGAAUUUAAAGGAGGGGGACAGAACUUGUAGUCGGCUGGUCUGAUAAUCUGAGGAAAUAACAGACACAUGGGCAGCCGUAAGGUGAAGCGAUUCUGGUUUGGGAAUUUAAAGGAGAGGGUCGGAAUUGACAGUCGGCCGGCAACGGGGUGCCUCUGGUAGUGUGAGGAAACGAAAUACACAUGUUAACAAUGGUGGC